GGACUACAAGGGUAUCUAAUCCUGUUUGCUCCCCACGCUUUCGCACAUGAGCGUCAAUGCCAGACCAGGUAGUCGCCUUCGCCACUGGUGUUCUUCCUAAUAUCUACGAAUUUCACCUCUACACUAGGAAUUCCACUACCCUCUUCUGGAUUCUAGCUCGCCAGUCUUAAAAGCAAUUCUCAGGUUGAGCCCAAGGCUUUCACUUCUAAUUUAACGAGCCGCCUGCGUGCGCUUUACGCCCAGUAAUUCCGAACAACGCUAGCCCCCUUCGUAUUACCGCGGCUGCUGGCAC
rnacentral:rRNA from 1 species